GCGAGCGUAGUCUAGCCUGGUAGGACGUGGCCUUCCCAAGGCUACAACCCGGGUUCAAAUCCCGGCGCUCGCA
rnacentral:tRNA from 1 species